GUCUAGGAAUGAAGCAAACGUUGUUAUUUCCGUAGUGUUAGUCCUUAUGUUCGAGCUCAUUGAAAUAUAGGAUAUGUAGAUAAUGGAUUGAAAAAGAAUUAUGAAAGCUAAAAAAAGAAAUUAAUCACUACAGUUAAGUUUCAGAUGCGUAUCAAGAGUUCCAACCAUUGUAUGACAGAUACAUUUCGGUAAAAAGAUUAAAACCCUCAUCUAUUUUAAAGACGUUUGUGGAAUCUUUACGUCCUACAACGAAAAACAACGGCGAAAUCCGAGGAAAAAAGUAAAGACAAAUAGAUGGAGACAGCGGGCCAUCAUCCAGACAUGAACGAGACAGUCCACCUACACCACACAACCUGUCACAUGAUUGGGUUAUUUCUGGGAAUCCACGUGGCAUCAGCAAGGUGAAGAUCGAUAAGAGUAUCUGUGUCAAUGUCGGAUUACUUUAACCAAGACGAAAAUAGACGGAAGUCGGAAGAGAGAACCGGUACAAUUUCCUCUAACGAGAAAAAGAUGUAUGUUUCGUGUAUUUGAUAGAAUUUAAAUAUUCUCACGGCAACAAAUAUGAACACAUCCCUUUAAAAUAUAUCACGGUAGAAAAUAUGAACACAUCCUUUUAAAAUAUAUCACGGUAGAAAAAAGAACACAUCCUUAUUAAAAUGCUCACAGUGGCAAAUAAAAACAUUUUCACGAUUGCAAAUAUGAACAAAUCCUUAUAAAAAUUCUCACAGUAGCAAAUAUGAACACAUCCGUAUGAAAUUAUCACGGUAGCAAAUAUGAACACAUCCUUAUAAAAAUUCUCACGGUUGCUAAUAUGAACAAAUCUUUACAAGUAUGAAAAUUCUCGCGGUAGAUAAUAUAAACAAAUCCUAACUUAUAAAAAAUCCCACGGUAGCUUAAAUGAACACAGCCUUACUUAUAAAAAAUCCCACGGUAGCUUAAAUGAACACAGCCUUACUUAUAAAAAAUCCCACGGUAGCUUAAAUGAACACAGCCUUACUUAUAAAAAUUUGCACUGACGUGUAGCAAAUAUGAACAAAUCCUUCUAAAAAUUCUCACGGUUGCAAAUAUCAACAAAUCCGUUUAAAAAUUCUCACGGUAGCAAAUAUGAUCGCAUCCUUACAAAAAUUAUUACGGUAGUAAAAUAAGCAUUUUAUUCAAAUUUGAUAUUACAACGUUAGUGUAGAAUAAAAUCAGAAUAGCUACUUAGAAAACGAAACCCUAUAUACUUAAGGUACUUGUGGCAAUAAAAGAAACGUGUAUUGAAUAGUGGGGCAUUUUCAUACUGUAAUAACCACAAUAGGUUUUGUGAGAAUGUAUCACCAAUUGGCAUUCUUACAAUACUACACGUAUCUUCCAUUUUUGGUAGCAGUGUUAAACAUCCAUGAAACCUCAAAAAAAAUAUUUCCAAAUUCGUUAAGCAAGGUGGAUUUGAACGGUUGACAGUUGUUUGUGUUCAUAUUUCCAGGUCUUGUAUGCAUUGUUUUCCAUAAUAUUUUCCUUUAACGUUUCUGGAGAUGAAACACUGAAACACGUUCCAUGCUCAUUUUAACCUUGCUAGGUAUUAUAUAUAUCAUUGUCUUUUCAUUGAAUGUAAAUUAACUAAUGCCUACACUGUUGAAAUAUGCAUAAAUCAAGACGUGACAGAAUAUUUUCCAUUUUAAUGAGACACUAUUGUCAUCAUUCAGGUCGAUGAGUACAAGUACGUAAGAUCAGGGGCGUGCAUCCCAAAAAAUAAAGAAAAAUGUAUUUUUUUUGCAAUAAACCUUCGAAUUUGUUUUCUUCUCGCUCCAACCGGCGACAUUACUAGAGUCCCGCCCCCUUACCACAAAUCCUGAAUCAGCCCCAGGGGAUUUAAAAUAAUUUCACUGUCGGCCGCGGUAACGAUAACAUUGAAAUAUUAAGAUCAUCCGAAAAAUAAAUUUUAUCAUUUAACAUUUUUUGAUAAAAUUUCUUUUAACGAAUUACAUAAUGAAUUUCAUAAAAGGAUAAAAGUAUAAAACGCUUAAGAAGCGCUUUACCAGAUGAACCUUCUAAAGGAUAGCUCAAACAAAUCUAUUUCAAAGCCAACGAUGUAUAAAUACUUACAUAUAUAAGUAGGGCACACGUGCCAAAAAUAUCUGUCCUAUUUAGAGAACAGUUUUGUUUACAUACCGAAAACUACAACGUCAUACUUUUUGUUUUGUUUUGUUUUAAUAUUUUCUUGAAAUCAACUGAUCUCCGAGCACAAAUAAUCUUAAAUUAGAAUAGGGGGAGGAUUGAGUGGUCAAAAACAUGUUUAACUCCGCCACAUUCUUUGUGUGCCUGUCCCAAGUCGACCAGGAGCCUUUUAUUCAGUGGUUGUCGAUGGUUGCUGUCUGUUAUAUUUGUUUUUCGUUUAUUGUUUUGUCAUAAAUCAGACCGUUGUUUUUUUCGUUUUAAUAGUUUCAUAUUUGCCAUGUCGACUCCCCUUUAAGCGCUUAUGGGUUAUGCUCAUUGUUGAGGUUCGUACGAUUGCCUGUAAUUGCUUAAAUACACGUUGUUUGUACUCGUUUUGAUAAUUGUCUCAUUGGCAAUCAUUUUUAAAUUAAAUAUACUUUUAAUCAAGACUUUUGCGUGUUUCGUGGUGAAAAUUCUGAAAAACAUAUUGUUUACGCUAAUACAAAUAUAACAUGGACUUGUUUGUUUGUUUUCUAUAUGUAUGUAAAAUUACACAUGAAGUGUUUACCCCUGAAAACUUAAGUUCAUCGAUAGCCCUUAUUUGUUUACCAGCGAUUUAUUUACAAUGUCAAAUGAGUCACAACAAAACUAUUUAAAUCAUAACCUUUUGAACUACAACUGUUUUGUUUUUUUUCUUAGUAAAGAAGUAGGAUAUAAUUGAAGAUAUAUUUAAGAUAUAAAUAUUUAGUACGAUCAAGGCUAUGGCUCGAUUGAUUGAUUGGUGAUUGCUUUACGCCGCAUCAGCACAAAAAGGCUAUAUCGUGGCGAGAGAUAUUUUAAAUAUUAUAACAAGACGUUUUAUUAAAAAUCAGACAAAAAGUCUUUCAAUUUACUAAAACUUUAGUUUAAAGCGAAAUUGAUUAUGUACAAAUAAAAUUUCAUCAAUAGGAUAACAUGAUAAAAACUUAAAAUCAUUUUAAACUAAUACAACAAAUUCAAAUUUUGGAAUAUAUUCCAAUUUCUU